rnacentral:rRNA from 1 species
GACGAACGCUGGCGGCGUGCUUAACACAUGCAAGUCGAACGGACGAUGAAGAGCUUGCUUUUCAGAGUUAGUGGCGGACGGGUGAGUAGCGCGUGGGCAACCUGCCUCAUACAGGGGGAUAGCAGCUGGAAACGGCUGAUAAAACCGCAUAAGCGCACAGCAUCGCAUGAUGCAGUGUGAAAAACUCCGGUGGUAUGAGAUGGACCCGCGUCUGAUUAGCUAGUUGGUGAGGUAACGGCCCACCAAGGCGACGAUCAGUAGCCGGCCUGAGAGGGUGACCGGCCACAUUGGGACUGAGACACGGCCCAAACUCCUACGGGAGGCAGCAGUGGGGAAUAUUGCACAAUGGGGGAAACCCUGAUGCAGCGACGCCGCGUGAAGGAAGAAGUAUCUCGGUAUGUAAACUUCUAUCAGCAGGGAAGAUAAUGACGGUACCUGACUAAGAAGCCCCGGCUAACUACGUGCCAGCAGCCGCGGUAAUACGUAGGGGGCAAGCGUUAUCCGGAUUUACUGGGUGUAAAGGGAGCGUAGGCGGCGGAGCAAGUCAGAAGUGAAAGCCCGGGGCUCAACCCCGGGACGGCUUUUGAAACUGCCCUGCUUGAUUUCAGGAGAGGUAAGCGGAAUUCCUAGUGUAGCGGUGAAAUGCGUAGAUAUUAGUAGGAACACCAGUGGCGAAGGCGGCUUACUGGACUGACAAUGACGCUGAGGCUCGAAAGCGUGGGGAGCAAACAGG